rnacentral:lncRNA from 1 species
GGGUGACAUAAAAAGAAUCGAUGAAUAACAAUACGUCACCCCAACUCCGUUGAGGGUGCCAUAAAAAGAAACGUAGAAUAACAAUACGUCACCCCAACUCCGUUGAGGGUGCCAUAAAAAGAAACGUAGAAUAACAAUAUGUCACCCCAACUGCGUUGAGGGUGCCAUAACAAAGAAACAUAAGAAAAGCAAUAUGUCACCCGACAUUGUCGAUCGGGUGACAUAAUAAAAA